rnacentral:rRNA from 1 species
AUUGAACGCUGGCGGCAGGCCUAACACAUGCAAGUCGAACGAGUGGCGGACGGGUGAGUAAUGUCUGGGAAACUGCCCGAUGGAGGGGGAUAACUACUGGAAACGGUAGCUAAUACCGCAUACCAUCGGAUGUGCCCAGAUGGGAUUAGCUAGUAGGUGGGGUAACGGCUCACCUAGGCGACGAUCCCUAGCUGGUCUGAGAGGAUGACCAGCCAAACUGGAACUGAGACACGGUCCAGACUCCUACGGGAGGCAGCAGUGGGGAAUCUUGCCCAAUGGGCGAAAGCCUGAUGCAGCCACGCCGCGUGUGUGAAGAAGGCCUUCGGGUUGUAAAGUACUUUCAGCGGGGAAGCGUUACUCACAGAAGAAGCACCGGCUAACUCCGUGCCAGCAGCCGCGGUAAUUC